ACGUAGGGUGCAAGCGUUAUUCGGAAUUAUUGGGCGUAAAGCGCAUGUCGGCGGUUUGAUAAGUCUAAUGUGAAAGCCCCGGACUCAAUUCGGGAAGUGCAUCGGAUACUGUCAGACUAGAGUACAGGAGAGGUGAGCGGAAUUCCUGGUGUAGAGGUGAAAUUCGUAGAUAUCAGGAGGAACAACAGAGGCGAAGGCGGCUCACUGGACUGUUACUGACGCUCAGAUGCGAAAGUGUGGGGAGCAAACAG
rnacentral:rRNA from 1 species